rnacentral:rRNA from 1 species
UACGGAGGAUGCGAGCGUUAUCCGGAUUUAUUGGGUUUAAAGGGUGCGUAGGCGGACUGUCAAGUCAGCGGUAAAAUUGAGAGGCUCAACCUCUUCCCGCCGUUGAAACUGGUGGUCUUGAGUGGAUGAGAAGUACGCGGAAUGCGCGGUGUAGCGGUGAAAUGCAUAGAUAUCACGCAGAACCCCGAUUGCGAAGGCAGCAUACCGGUGCACAACUGACGCUCAGGCACGAAAGCGUGGGUAUCGAACAGG